GGGCCAUAGCCCAGUGGUAGAGCACCUGCCUUGUAUGCAGAAAGUCCCAGGUUCAAUCCCCAGCAUCUCCA